CCUACGGGAGGCAGCAGUGAGGAAUAUUGGUCAAUGGGCGCGAGCCUGAACCAGCCAAGUCGCGUGAAGGAUGACUGCCCUACGGGUUGUAAACUUCUUUUAUAAAGGAAUAAAGUGAGGCACGUGUGCCUUUUUGUAUGUACUUUAUGAAUAAGGAUCGGCUAACUUCGUGCCAGCAGCCGCGGUAAUACGGAGGAUCCGAGCGUUAUCCGGAUUUAUUGGGUUUAAAGGGAGCGUAGAUGGGUUGUUAAGUCAGUUGUGAAAUAUUGGGGCUCAACCGUAAAAUUGCAAUUGAUACUGGCCGUCUUGAGUAUAGUUGAGGUAGGCGGAAUUCGUGGUGUAGCGGUGAAAUGCGUAGAGAUCACGAAGAACUCCGAUUGCGAAGGCAGCUUACUAAACUGACACUGACAUUGAUGCUCGAAAGUGUGGGUAGCAAACAGGAUUAGAUACCCCUGUAGUC
rnacentral:rRNA from 1 species